UAUAUAGAGCUGCAUCGCGUUCCUUGGCUC
rnacentral:piRNA from 1 species